UUCCUUCCGGUCAUCAAAAUGGCAAUGGUGUUGAUGACCGGAAGGGGUCCUUCCGGUCAUCAAAUGGUCUUGAUGACCAGAAGGGAUCCUUCCGGUCAUCGAAUGGUCUUGAUGACCGGAAGGGA
rnacentral:miRNA from 1 species